rnacentral:rRNA from 1 species
CCCUUAGAUGUUCUGGGCUGCACGCGCGCUACACUGAUGCACUCAACGAGUUUACGACCUUGUCCGAGAGGAUUGGGUAAUCUUUUUAAAAUGCAUCGUGAUAGGGAUAGAUUAUUGCAAUUAUUAAUCGUCAACGAGGAAUUCCUAGUAAGUGUGAAUCAUCAGUUCGCGCUGAUUACGUCCCUGCCCUUUGUACACACCGCCAGUCGCUGCUACCGAUUGAGUGGUCCGGUGAAUUAUUCGGACCGGUGGACUGUGGGGAAACCCGCGGCCUGCUGGGAAGUCUUGUGAACCUUAUCACUUAGAGGAAGCAGAAGUCGUAACA